rnacentral:rRNA from 1 species
UACGUAGGGGGCAAGCGUUGUCCGGAUUCAUUGGGCGUAAAGAGCUCGUAGGCGGCUUGGCAAGUCGGGUGUGAAAACUCCAGGCUCAACCUGGAGACGCCACCCGAUACUGCCAUGGCUAGAGUCCGGUAGGGGACCACGGAAUUCCUGGUGUAGCGGUGGAAAUGACGCAGAUAUCAGGAGGAACACCGGUGGCGAAGGCGGUGGUCUGGGCCGGAACUGACGCUGAGGAGCGAAAGCGUGGGGAGCGAACAGG